AUCAGCAAGUCUGAUAUCAAUACAUACAUAAACACUCUUAUUACAUAUGCAUAUGUAUAUGUAUAAAUAUGCAUACACACACAUAUGUAUAUGCAUAUAUACACAUACAAGCCAUAAUAAAAAUGUAUAAGGCUAAGUAAAUUUGUGGUGGCUACUCUGGCAUUAUUACUUUAUGAUCACGUGCUCUUUGCUUGAGUAUUACUUCUCUCUUUUUUACGAAAUUUUUAUUGUAUUUCAUAAGCAAUGGCGGUAAGCUCCAUUUAAAAAAUAAUAUGGUUCAGUAAACACAUUUUUUUUUUUGCUUUUUUAAUGAAUAAAUUACUUUCUAAUCAAAAUUAUUUGAAACCAAAAAGCUACAGCAGAUUGAGACGCGAAUACAUCAAACCGCUAAAGGCAACAAUUAAAUGGCAACAAACGAUGUGGACUAUCCGCAAAAGUAAUUCCUUAAUUCAAUAAAGCAAACACUAGAUUAUUUCAAUCUUUAAAAAAAAAAUAUGUGAUAAAAUAGCCACACAUAUUUAAAGGCUAAAAAUAAAACAAAAUUCAUCAGCCGACAAAACAGUGACUAUAAUUUCGAUGCGGUCGACAAGUAAGCACGACACACGUGUGCAAUCCAUAAACAACUAUCUCAAAAUCAACAGGCAAACAAAACUAAAUGGGUGUCUACUUGUUUCAUAGUACAUAGUCUACAUAUGCGUGUAUAUAUAAACAUGACGGUUCUAUUCUCUCCUUACUCUGAGUUUUAUAAUAAACAAGUAGAUAUGUUCGCACAUAUGCAUAAACAGGUGUAUAUAAAUUACAUAUUGAAAAAAGCAAACAACAAACGAACAAACAUAUACAUACAUAACAUAUAUAUGUAUAUAGCUUUAACAAUGAGAGACGUAGCGCCUUUUCGCCUACUCAUAUCGAAUUCGAGUGCUGCGUGGGUUCAAAAUUAAAAUCAGGCGAUAGGUGGCUACUUAGCCAAUCAAUAUGCAUAUUGGCACAAUCGUAUAAACACACUUUAUUAAACGUACUGAAUUAUGUACACCGUCUGUCAGGGGUAUUAUACACGUAUAUAUAUAUAUAUUUAUAAAUACAGACACAUAAAAUGUAUAGUAUUAUACCAACAUUUUUAAAUAAAAGGAAUUUAUGAGUCGCGUAACGCAAACACUGCAUUUAUAUUUGUUUCUAUAAAUAUAACACUUAUUAAUUUCUGAGUGCACUGAAUACUAUGUUGGUUACCACCGCUGCUGAUCCAAGUAUGUACAUAGUUUAAUAUGCAGCUUAUACAUAAACUUUUUUAAUGUAUACAUAUACACGUGUAUGUAUAUAUAAGUGUAGAGAGUUUAAAUAUUAAUUGAAAAUAUUAAAAAACACAAAUUAAUAUUAAACUGUUAAUUGAUGUGGUCGUCAGUAAUGAUGCCAAUAAUAUUGUAUUGACGCGGAUAUCCAAGUACAUAUUUACUUGGACAUUUAUGUGUCUAUUGACGUUAUUCAAUCGCUGGGUAUUAGCUGCUUAAUGUCGUUGCGUCGUUUUCUGUUGGCUAACAUGUCAGGUUACCUUUCCCCCGCUAUACACGACGUAUAACAAUUUGAACAUACGAGCAUAACAAGAACAUUAACGAACACAAAGCCGCUGGUGUCGCGUAACGCCGAUCACGUUUGACAUGUCGUGCGUUUAGUUUCACUUAACUAUUUGAGGUUACAAGUGCUUUAAUUAUUCCCACGUUUUCCCAGCCCAUUUACAUGUUAUUAACAACAUGACAAAAAUGUCGUCGUUUGCGUCGUCUAAAGUUUAUUUAGAAUAAGUACAUAUAUAUGUGUGUAUGUUAAUAUGAUGAAUUUUUAAAGAAAAUUUUUGAAACUAAUUUUGUAGUUAUUUGUAUAAUACAUUAUACAAUUAUACAUCCCUAUUUUCCUUCUUGACACUCUCAACUCCUUUAUGAUAGAUAAACCAUCAAAGUAUUAAACUUUUAUGAAUAUCAACAAAUAUUAUAAAAAUAUCUCGAUAUUUCAGUACAUCUAACUAAGUUUGUAAUACAGUUGAUAGUAUGUACAGUAAUGGGCAAAAGUAACUUUAUACAUACAACUUUAACAAGAACGAAAAGUUAGUUGUUUAAUUGAGUGCUUGAAUUUUUUGAAUUUCCUUCUUCGACUUUAUUUUAAAAAUAUUUGCAUCAUUAAUUUAUUCAAUCCAUUUUAAUCUGUUAAUUUAGCUACAAAUAUGCAUAUUUAUAAAGUUAUAUUUGUACAUUGGCUCAUGUAUAAAGAAACUUUAGUUUUUGUUUUAAUAAUUAUAUAUUAUAUUAACAUUCAAUUUUUUUACAUAUAUUUGUGCUUAAUACUACUUAAUUGAAAUAAAAUUAUAAAUACUUAUAUUGGAAUGAUUUUUGAAAAAGAAAAAAAAUAAUAAAUUGAAAUAACUGUUCAUACCUACCUCUCAUACUUAACCGAAUGUGGAGCGUGUCCAUUUGCUUCGCUCCAGUACGAUUCCAUAACUUCGUACUUAAUUUUGUUCCUGUGAGCUGGUUGCAGUUGAGGUGGAAUGGUGACUAUGGUUGUUAGCUGACUGGAGUCGACAAUUGCAGUAGAUGGAACGACCAAUUGGGUGUUCUUGAUAAUUUUGGACGUAUUCGUAAUGAAGGUGUUACUGGAUUUCCUGUUCAGUUACUUCUAUUUAUUUUUGGAGCACUGGAUGUAUGUGCAACCACAACACAUUUGGUUCACACCUAUUUUUUUUUGUGUUAGUUGUGGUAGCAAUUAUUGGUUUUAAUAAAACUACACA